rnacentral:tRNA from 1 species
UCCUGGGUGGCUCAGUGAUAAAGAAUCUGCCAGCCAAGCAGGAGACUCAGGUUCAAUCCCUGGGUCAGGAA